rnacentral:rRNA from 1 species
AUACGUAGGGGGCGAGCGUUGUCCGGAAUGACUGGGCGUAAAGGGCGUGUAGGCGGCUGUCUAAGUCUGGAGUGAAAGUCCUGCUUUCAAGGUGGGAAUUGCUUUGGAGACUGGAUGGCUUGAGUGCGGAAGAGGUAAGUAGAAUUCCCAGUGUAGCGGUGAAAUGCGUAGAGAUUGGGAGGAACACCAGUGGAGAAGGCGACUUACUGGGCCGUAACUGACGCUGAGGCGCGAAAGUGUGGGGAGCAAACAGGAUUAGAUACCCUGGUAGUCCACACUGUAAACGAUGAAUGCUAGGUGUAGGGGGUAUCGACCCCUUCUGUGCCGCAGGCAACACAAUAAGCAUUCCGCCUGGGGAGUACGGCCGCAAGGUUGAAACUCAAAGGAAUUGACGGGG